GAUGAACGCUGGCGGCGUGCCUAAUACAUGCAAGUCGAACGCUGAAGGCGGAGCUUGCUCUUCUGGAUGAGUUGCGAACGGGUGAGUAACGCGUAGGUAACCUGCCUGGUAGCGGGGGAUAACUAUUGGAAACGAUAGCUAAUACCGCAUGACAACAGCUAUUGCAUGAUAACGGUUUGAAAGGUGCAGCUGCUCCACUACCAGAUGGACCUGCGUUGGUUUAGCGUGUUGGUGCGGUAACGGCUCACCAAGGCGACGAUACGUAUUCGAACGGAGAUGGGGGGCAGCCGCCCUGGGAGGGUGACACGGCCCAUAGGCCCACGGGAGGCAGCAGGAGUGCAACGUCGGCCAUAGGCGGAAGACUGUCCGCGCAACGCGGCGUGCGGGAAGAAGGAUGUCGGAUCGGAAAGCUCGGUUUUCAGGGAAGAACCAGCGUUAGCGUGGAACGUUCACACUGUGACGGUAUCUGAUCAGAAAGGAACGGCUAACUACGUG
rnacentral:rRNA from 1 species